UUCUUCUUUUACCCCCGGAAGGUGUGACUGUGUCACUUAAGUGUUACUAAUUGUUGCACAAAGCACGAGGCAAGGCCUAAAGAAGUGAGAGAGAAGAUGUAAGUGCGGCCGCCGAGGGGCGAUCAGAAGAGACGGGACAGAGAACGGCACAGAGGGCUGAGAAAGAAAGAAAAGUCCGUACAGUGUGUCUAUUGUAAAAGCCAACCAGCCUCCCGUAGUAGCACGGCAUCAAUGCUUCAACAUCUGGACAGAAAACACCCAGUUCACGCACGUACUAGUAGUUCACCGAGCGGAGCGGAACCAAGGGAGUUGAAGAGGUCAAGAAUCGUUGGCGGAGCUGCCGUGACCAGUUCCGCAAGGGAAUGAGAAAGCAGGGGCGGAGCGGGGCUGGUCCCCCCAAGAAAAGACCCUACCUCUUCCGGGAGCAGCUAAUGUUCCUUCGCGCCGUCAUGGAUCUGCGUCCUCAUUUUGUGGAACGGAGGACAACCUAGAGGAGGAAGGAGAAGAAUCGGCUCCACAAUUGUCCAGUGCUUGUGAGGAGGAGACGACAGCUGCCCAGCAGGAGACUCUUCCGGGACCAACACCAGCACCUUCCGAGCCUCCUGCAGCAUCAGGAGCUGAUCCCCCCCCCCCCCCCGGCUCUACCCAGCAGGUCCAGAUGAUGGGCAAAUCCUCCUGCCAAGUCCAACGUUAAUGUCCAAGUUUUGGAUUAUUUAUCUCGGGCUCGGCAGGAGGAUCAUCACGAUAUGUUUGCCCGUAGUCUGGCCCAUUAUAUGCAGCAGCUACCUCCAGAACGAUUAUUACAGACAAGAACUUCCGUAGAAAUCGUUCUGGAGCUAGCAAAUUCCCUUCCUGAUCCCUCUGUCAUGCAUGACGCCCUUGAAAAUUUGCGCCGCUAUGGGCAACUAAUUGUCCCCAACAUCCCCGCUGUUUCCCAGCCUUUACCCGACCAACAACAAGGGAUCAUUAUGGGCCACCAAUGGCGUCAUAUGUUCCCCAGAUUCAGGGUGAACCUAGCUAUGGUCCUCCAGGACCCUCGCCCAGUCGAACUGGCCCACCACAAUGCCUUUGCCCCCCUUCCCAGGCACAAUAUUCAAGGGCUCCUUCCCAGGGCCAAUAUUCCGGCCCCCCUUCCCAGGCCCAAUAUUCAAGGGCUCCUUCCCAGGGCCAAUAUUCAGGCCCCCCCUCCCAGGGCCAAUAUUCAAGGGCUCCUUAUGAGGGACAAGCUCAAAAUCAGGCUGGACCCUCACAAUACUCAGCCCCUCCUUAUCAGGGAUCUUCAUCGCCAUCAAGGCAAUAUGUUAAUUUGUAGUAAUUUUGACAGAAAAAUGUAUUUAUUUUAAUAUACCAGAGAAUUUAUUUUCAUAUUGUGUGUAAUAAAACACAUUUUUGUUUUCAAGCUU